GCUGUGUUGUAGACCGAUUACGUCACAGCGGCCGCGACAGGGGUGUGCCAUUCCGGCGACUCCUUGAGAUCAAGCCGACAAAUGCGGUCUUCUUUUGCCAGGUUUGCAGGAUACAGCUGAUGUAUCUUACACGACCUCAGGUAUCCCAAGAUUCAUUGUGUGCCCCUCGACCCAGCAGUAGCGGCAAAUGGAUAUACUUUUAAAUGGAGAAGGAGGCAGAAAAGAGGAGAGCAGGGAGAGGAUGGAGAGCAGGGAGAGGAUGGACAGACUCUUCUCUCUGCUGGAGAAACUUGUUGACAAAUGAAAUCGACCCACACAGCUAAGGACUCAAAGUUCCCGCUUCAUAUUUCCCCUUUGUUCUACACACGUUUGUGUACGCGUAUGCGAAGCAUCUUUUCGGCGCGCUC
rnacentral:lncRNA from 1 species